ACAAACUUGGUCAUUUAGAGGAAGUAAAGUCGUAACAAGGUUUCCGUAGGUGAACCUGCGGAAGGAUCAUUAGAGAACAGCCAUUGGCCUUUACCCUUUAUUCACACCGUGUGAACUGAUGAUCGAGCGGGAAAGGACUUUUCCCGGUUGAGGGGUGGGCCGAGAGGCCUACCUGAAUCACCUUGUCAACCACACCGUGAAUGGCAACGCCGCAAUCGGCGAUUUGAAGGAAUACAACUUUCAGCAACGGAUCGCUAGGCUCCCGCAUCGAUGAAGAACGCAGC
rnacentral:misc_RNA from 1 species